UACGGAGGAGGCAAGCGUUAUCCGGAAUUAUUGGGCGUAAAGCGUCCGCAGGUGGCACGUCAAGUCUGCUGUGAAAGACCGGGGCUUAACCCCAGAAAUGCAGUGGAAACUGAAGUGCUAGAGUGCAGUAGGGGUAGAGGGAAUUCCCGGUGUAGCGGUGAAAUGCGUAGAGAUCGGGAAGAACAUCGGUGGCGAAAGCGCUCUGCUGGGCUGCCACUGACACUCAGGGACGAAAGCUAGGGGAGCGAAUGGG
rnacentral:rRNA from 1 species